rnacentral:lncRNA from 1 species
GGCCAGCUUCUUGACUCCAGGCUUGGACGGCGAGGCGGAAGUUAGCGUCGGACAUCCUCGCUGCUCCGCCUUCACGUCUGCCUUCCCCGCUUCUCCGCGCUCGGCCAGCGCCGAGAUCCUAGCCGCUGGCUUACGCACCCUGGGAGGUGACUCAAUAGGAAAUGGAAGUGUAGGAAUGCGAAGUCCAGAACUCCCUUCGUUUUGGUGUUCAUCGCUGCCCUACUUCAAAACGAAAAGGUUUUUCUUUGUUGUAUUACGGGGACAACAGAGGAUGAGAUAGUUGGAUGGCAUCACCGACAUGAUGGACAUGACUUUGAGUAGGCUCCAGGAGUUGGUGAUGGACAGGGAAGCCUGGCAUGCUGCCACGGGGUCCAUGGGGUCGCAAAGAGCUGGACACGACUGAGCGACUGAAAUGAACUGAACUGAUUAUAUACCAUUUAUCAUUCUCCAGUUGAUGGGCAUUUGGAUUGUUUCUAGUUUUUUUUUUUUUUUGCUAUUAUGAAUGCUAUAAACAUUCUCUAUAUUCCCUGGUCUAUCUAACCAAGAGAUUUUCAAGACUAUACCUACAAGUAAAACUGCUGGGUUCAAAGGCAUGUGUGUUGUCAAUUUUAACUUGAUAAUAUCAAAUUGUAAUUCCAUUUAAUGUUCAAACUUUUCUUGUUACUCUGCAUCAUCACUAGCACUUAAUUUUGUUGGACUUCUUAAUUUUUGCCAAGCUAAUGAAAGUACAAUGAUGUAUCAUUUUGCUUUAAUUUACAUAUUCCUGAUUACUAAUAAAGUUGAAUAUCUUUCAAGUGUUUGUUAACCAUUUAUAUUUACUCUUUUCUGAAAUGCCAAGUCAUGACUCUGCAACAUUCUCUACUAUGGAGUUAUUAUUAUUAUUAUUUUGUAUACUUUCAAACUCUUCAUUUUUCACUUCAGUAAAAUGAAACCAGAAGAGGAUACCUUGCAUAAGAAAGGUCCUGUUGCUAGUUAGUAGCAGAAUUAAAAUUCAUAGUAAC